CAGAAUUCUUAGAUUUCAACCUUGUAGACCAUGAAAUGUACAAUGUAGCAAUGUCAACUAUCAUGAGUCAAUCAGUCGUCUGCUGAAAUGUAUACAGUUUGGAAAUUAUAUUUCUUGUUCUAUCCAGAACAAUGAUUCAUCCUUCUAGUGAAGCUGUGGCUUGCCUCUGCAUGUUUUGCAAUGCUGGCUGGCUUCAUAAUAGCAUAACUGCGUGUUGUGACUCCUACCAGAUUUCUCGGCAAACAUCUGAGCGAGGAGCAGGCUAAUUCUUUGAACGAUGGCAUUCGCUUUUAGACAAUUCUUCCUGGUAGCUGCAGAUUUAAUGCUUGCCUUGGUCCUCUCCAGCUUCCUUUAUGCUUUCGUGUGCAUCUGCACUGCAUUCCUCACCUGCUUUGUCAUCGUUUUCUCCUUGGGGAUUGUGAAGAAAAUGGAGAGAAAUAUUGACAUAAAAGGGAGAGCUGUUAUGAUUCUAGUGUCCAACAGCUCCAUCGGACGGACGUUUGCCAGGAACCUGGACAAGGCAGGUUUCAGAGUGUCUGCUGCAUGCUGGCCACCUGAAAGAAAGUGGGCAAAGGUUCUGAAGGAGGAGUAUUCUCCAGACAUGAAGCUGGCACAACUCCCUAUAACUGAGGACGAGUAUAAGAUGACAAUGAAAACCUUGAUAGAAAAGCACUUAUCUCUGAAAGGCAUGUAUGGGCUGAUGAAGAAGCCUUCGGUCUUGAUGUGGGAAGAACAGGAGCCAGACACAAACAGAUUCUCUGAGGGAAAAACUUCUUAUAAAUGGAAGGAUGUUUGCAUAACUCCCGCCUUCCUCACGGCACUUCUCUUUCUCCCUGUGAACUAUGUAGUGACUUUUGCAAAGAAGAAAAGCCAGCAGUUACUUACUAGCCUGCUGAAAUCCAAAAACUGACAGUGCAGUAGUUGUUCCCCAAGAUCCCCUACCUGCUGGCAGGGUCACUAAGAUGGAAGGAAAUAAUGAAGAACCUUCCUGAAAGACUGCUGAACAUCGAGCUUUCGACAUACGCUGUGCUAUGACUUGGCUUAACUGAAGGAUAAACUGCUGGUCUUUCAUCUUUCAAAUUGCAACUCAGAAUUAUCAUUACCCAUGUGAAAUGUAGUCCAGUCCUGGCCCACAGAAAAGAACUGCAGUUAAAUGUCAAACUGAGCCCAAACUAACCAUUUUAAUUCAACCAUGUCAAAAAGUUUUGUUUUGAUGAAAGCUGUUGAAAUGAAUUGUUUUAACAUUUCUGAAUUGAAAGUUUUGGUUUCUAGCCAAAAAUGUUUGACCUUCAGUUUUUCACCAAGAAGUCACCAUUUUCUGCAGUAAGCAGACACUUUUUUUUUAAAUUCAUUUAGUCCAACAUCCAAUUUGCAGUUGAAAAACAGUUUCAAUGGAACAUUUUUAAUCAGCUCCGGUGAGCAACAACAUUUUGUCCAGAAAUUCCUUGUGCAGUUUCAGAUGAAUAAUGUAUUCUUUAUUUUCUCUGCUAAGCUGUUGUGUAUCAUUGAUGUGGGCUUUUAAAUAGCUGUUGUUUCAUGGAUGGUUAAAUGAUACCUAUUUGUUUUCACAGUGGUAUGUAUAGCCUGAUUGUACAGUCCUUAUUUGGACAAAACACCUGUUGGCUUCAAUGGAAAUUUUGUUUGCUUAAAGAUGUGAUGAUAGGUUUAAUUUGUUUAUAAUGCUUUGUGAUCCUUUGAGAUAAAAGAAACAAUACAUUUGUAAAAUUAUGGCUUUAAGGCAAUGCUGUCGUGAAACCCAAUUGUGAUAUACCUUCCCUUAGAAUAUUUUAAUACAAAUUAGCUACAAAGUAAAGCAGAAUUUUUAUGUUGAUAUUUUCAAAGCUGUCUAGGAGAUUUGAACGCCAAACUCCCUUCAGUUUUAGUGGAAGUCAGCCACCUAAAUCCUUUAAGCAGUCUUGAAAAUCUCAGUCAUAACAUGUAACAAUAUUGACAUAAUUCACUGUUAAAGCUAACACCUUAGCACACUUAUUAUCACCAUAUGUCCCCAUUUAAAAGCCAAAGGGCAACCUAAUUUUUCCAGACCAAGACAGAUACACAAAAAUCAGAGCUGGUCAAAAUUAUUCAUUCAUUUUUUUAAAAAGAGUUCUUUUUUCUGAAGCAAAUGUUUUUCCUUUCCCCAUCCCCACCAAAAAAAAAAAUAGAAAAAAUGGAAAAGGAGAGAAAAAGCUUAUAAAAUGAAAAACAAAAACACAACUUCAUUUUAGGUUUCAAAAUUAAUAUAUUUUCAUGUUUUCAUUUUUUUUUUGGCAGAACACUGACAAAAUUCAAGAGUUUUGAGAACAUUUUCUGGAAAACAAUUUACACACCACCCCAUCACCUCCAAACAUACUCACCAUUUUCCAGCCAGCUCUAAUGAAAAUGUAGCUGGGCUACAAAUGUUCAGUCCCAUGGCAACUAAACCCUCAAAUUCAAGAAGUGACAAUGGAAAUGACAGCUGAGCACUAAAGCCCUGAACCUUCUCUCAUUGAACUCAAUGGUAAAAUGCCCAUUAAUGUCACGUGUCCAGGACCAAGCUGUAAAUACACCUGCCUUUCCAGGGUAACCCUCUUAGAACAUUUCCCAGUCAAAAAGGUUUUUUUUACAUUACAUGAGCGCUGACACUCUUUUCAUUUUCAAAAAUAUCACCGUGGCAAAUGUUAAAACCAAUCACAUUCUUUGCCAGCUGCCUUUAUCAAAGCCACAGGUCCCUAUAUGCCAACUCUAGCAAUGCAGUCCAAAAACACAGUACAAGGCCAAUAUCAGUACAAUUCCACUGGGAUAGCUGCUCCUCGGAGUGGUAAUUCUCCUGUUAGAAUACCUUGCUGUAUUUUCAGGCCUGGUGCUGCAGACUUCCCUUACACGACUAGUGUUUACUCACAUAAGCAGUCAUACUGAAGCCAAAUCCAACUGAGUACGGGCUACGCNCCGACUAGUCUUUAUUCACAUAAGCAGUCAUACUGAAGCCAAAUCCAACUGAGUAUGGGCUACGCACCUGCAUAAUGAUCUGCAGGGCUGGAGUUUAAGAUAAGAAGGUCUUUGGGGGCAGGAAUACCAUUUUAUGUGCUCGUAUCACUGCUGAAAAGCACUGUAAUACAAUGCAAAUAAUAAAUAGCCAUUAUGGUGGUGUGAUUUUAUUUUA
rnacentral:lncRNA from 1 species